GAUGAACGCUGGCGGCGUGCCUAAUACAUGCAAGUCGAGCGAACGGACGAGAAGCUUGCUUCUCUGAUGUUAGCGGCGGACGGGUGAGUAACACGUGGAUAACCUACCUAUAAGACUGGGAUAACUUCGGGAAACCGGAGCUAAUACCGGAUGAUAUUUUGAACCGCAGGGUUCAAAAGUAAAAGACGGCCUUGCUGUCCCUUAUAGAUGGAUCCGCGCUGCAUUAGCUAGUUGGUAAGGUAACGGCUUACCAAGGCAACGAUGCAUAGCCGACCUGAGAGGGUGAUCGGCCACACUGGAACUGAGACACGGUCCAGACUCCUACGGGAGGCAGCAGUAGGGAAUCUUCCGCAAUGGGCGAAAGCCUGACGGAGCAACGCCGCGUGAGUGAUGAAGGUCUUCGGAUCGUAAAACUCUGUUAUUAGGGAAGAACAUAUGUGUAAGUAACUGUGCACAUCUUGACGGUACCUAAUCAGAAAGCCACGGCUAACUACGUG
rnacentral:rRNA from 1 species